rnacentral:misc_RNA from 1 species
CCAAACUUGGUCAUUUAGAGGAAGUAAAAGUCGUAACAAGGUUUCCGUAGGUGAACCUGCGGAAGGAUCAUUAGAGAAUUGCCGCAAGGCAGUCUUGGCUGUGCGCCGCAAGGCUGCACGCCGACCACACACCCUGUGCACCUAUCGGUGGGGUAACCCGCUGCAUUAUAAACUAUAGUCUCGAAUGUAACACUUCAUAUAAUACAACUUUCAGCAACGGAUCUCUUGGCUCUCGCAUCGAUGAAGAACGCAGC